rnacentral:pre_miRNA from 1 species
AAUGGCACCCUAUUCCCUAUAUAGUGCACUACCCUAUGAGCCCUGGUCAAAAGUAGUGCACUAUAAAGGGAAUAGGGUGCCAAUU